UAGGGAAUCUUCCGCAAUGGGCGAAAGCCUGACGGAGCAACGCCGCGUGAGUGAUGAAGGUCUUCGGAUCGUAAAACUCUGUUAUUAGGGAAGAACAAAUGUGUAAGUAACUAUGCACGCCCUGACGGUACCUAAUCAGAAAGCCACGGCUAACUACGUGCCAGCAGCCGCGGUAAUACGUAGGUGGCAAGCGUUAUCCGGAAUUAUUGGGCGUAAAGCGCGCGUAGGCGGUUUUUUAAGUCUGGUGUGAAAGCCCACGGCUCAACCGUGGAGGGUCAUUGGAAACUGGAAAACUUGAGUGCGGAAGAGGAAAGUGGAAUUCCAUGUGUAGCGGUGAAAUUCGCAGAGAUAUGGAGGAACACCAGUGGCGAAGGCGACUUUCUGGUCUGUAACUGACGCUGAUGUGCGAAAGCGUGGGGAUCAAACAGG
rnacentral:rRNA from 1 species